UAUCAGGUAGUAGUGGGUGUAGCGUACCUACUAGCCUACGACGGGUACGGGUUGUGAGAGCAAGAGCCCGGAGAUGGAUUCUGAGACACGAAUCCAGGCCCUACGGGGUGCAGCAGGCGCGAAAACUUUACAAUGCUGGCAACAGCGAUAAGGGGACCUCGAGUGCCAGGUUACAAAUCUGGCUGUCGUGAUGCCUAAAAAGCAUUGCAUAGCAAGGGCCGGGCAAGACCGGUGCCAGCCGCCGCGGUAACACCGGCGGCUCGAGUGGUAACCGUUAUUAUUGGGUCUAAAGGGUCUGUAGCCGGCCGGAUAAGUCUCUUGGGAAAUCUGGCAGCUUAACUGUCAGGCUUUCAGGAGAUACUGUCUGGCUCGAGACCGGGAGAGGUGAGAGGUACUUCAGGGGUAGGGGUGAAAUCUUGUAAUCCUUGAAGGACCACCAGUGGCGAAGGCGUCUCACCAGAACGGACCUGACGGCAAGGGACGAAAGCUAGGGGCACGAACCGGAUUAGAUACCCGGGUAGUCCUAGCCGUAAACGAUACUCGCUAGGUGUCGGCCACGGUGCGACCGUUGUCGGUGCCGUAGGGAAGCCGUGAAGCGAGCCACCUGGGAAGUACGGCCGCAAGGCUGAAACUUAAAGGAAUUGGCGGGGGAGCACCACAACGGGUGGAGCUUGCGGUUUAAUUGGAUUCAACGCCGGAAAUCUUACCGGGACCGACAGCAAUAUGAAGGCCAGGCUGAAGACUUUGCCGGAUUAGCUGAGAGGUGGUGCAUGGCCGUCGUCAGUUCGUACUGUGAAGCAUCCUGUUAAGUCAGGCAACGAGCGAGACCCACGCCCACAGUUGCCAGCGUACUCUCCGGAGUGACGGGUACACUGUGGGGACCGCCGCUGCUAAAGCGGAGGUAGGAAUGGGCAACGGUAGGUCAGUAUGCCCCGAAUAUCCCGGGCUACACGCGAGCUACAAUGGUUGGUACAAUGGGUAUCUACCCCGAAAGGGGAUGGAAAUCUCCUAAAGCCAAUCUUAGUCCGGAUUGAGGGCUGCAACUCGCCCUCAUGAAGCUGGAAUCCGUAGUAAUCGCGUUUCAACAGAACGCGGUGAAUACGUCCCUGCUCCUUGCAUACACCGCCCGUCAAACCACCCGAGUAGGGUCUGAAUGAGAGCGCUUCCUUCGGAGGCGUUCGAAUUUGGGCUUUGCAAGGGGGGUUAAGUCGUAACAAGGUA
rnacentral:rRNA from 1 species